rnacentral:rRNA from 1 species
GACGAACCCUGGCGGCGUGCUUAACACAUGCAAGUCGAACGGAAAGGCCCUGCUUUUGUGGGGUGCUCGAGUGGCGAACGGGUGAGUAACACGUGAGUAACCUGCCCUUGACUUUGGGAUAACUUCAGGAAACUGGGGCUAAUACCGGAUAGGAGCUCCUGCCGCAUGGUGGGGGUUGGAAAGUAUCGGCGGUUGGGGAUGGACUCGCGGCUUAUCAGCUUGUUGGUGGGGUAGUGGCUUACCAAGGCUUUGACGGGUAGCCGGCCUGAGAGGGUGACCGGCCACAUUGGGACUGAGAUACGGCCCAGACUCCUACGGGAGGCAGCAGUGGGGAAUAUUGCACAAUGGGCGGAAGCCUGAUGCAGCAACGCCGCGUGCGGGAUGACGGCCUUCGGGUUGUAAACCGCUUUCGCCUGUGACGAAGCGUGAGUGACGGUAAUGGGUAAAGAAGCACCGGCUAACUACGUGCCAGCAGCCGCGGUGAUACGUAGGGUGCGAGCGUUGUCCGGAUUUAUUGGGCGUAAAGGGCUCGUAGGUGGUUGAUCGCGUCGGAAGUGUAAUCUUGGGGCUUAACCCUGAGCGUGCUUUCGAUACGGGUUGACUUGAGGAAGGUAGGGGAGAAUGGAAUUCCUGGUGGAGCGGUGGAAUGCGCAGAUAUCAGGAGGAACACCAGUGGCGAAGGCGGUUCUCUGGGCCUUUCCUGACGCUGAGGAGCGAAAGCGUGGGGAGCGAACAGGCUUAGAUACCCUGGUAGUCCACGCUGUAAACGGUGGGUACUAGGUGUGGGGUCCAUUCCACGGGUUCCGUGCCGUAGCUAACGCUUUAAGUACCCCGCCUGGGGAGUACGGCCGCAAGGCUAAAACUCAAAGGAAUUGACGGGGCCCCGCACAAGCGGCGGAGCAUGCGGAUUAAUUCGAUGCAACGCGUAGAACCUUACCUGGGUUUGACAUGGAUCGGGAGUGCUCAGAGAUGGGUGUGCCUCUUUUGGGGUCGGUUCACAGGUGGUGCAUGGCUGUCGUCAGCUCGUGUCGUGAGAUGUUGGGUUAAGUCCCGCAACGAGCGCAACCCUUGUUCACUGUUGCCAGCACGUUAUGGUGGGGACUCAGUGGAGACCGCCGGGGUCAACUCGGAGGAAGGUGGGGAUGACGUCAAGUCAUCAUGCCCCUUAUGUCCAGGGCUUCACGCAUGCUACAAUGGCUGGUACAGAGAGUGGCGAGCCUGUGAGGGUGAGCGAAUCUCGGAAAGCCGGUCUCAGUUCGGAUUGGGGUCUGCAACUCGACCUCAUGAAGUCGGAGUCGCUAGUAAUCGCAGAUCAGCAACGCUGCGGUGAAUACGUUCCCGGGGCU